UGCCCCAGUAACGGCGAGUGAAGCGGCAAGAGCUCAAAUUUGAAAUCUGGCCCUCUCAGGGCCCGAGUUGUAAUUUGUAGAGGGCGCUUUGGCGUUGGCCCCGGCCUAAGUUCCUUGGAACAGGACGUCACAGAGGGUGAGAACCCCGUACGUGGCCGCCGGCCUCCGCCGUGUAAAGCCCCUUCGACGAGUCGAGUUGUUUGGGAAUGCAGCUCUAAAUGGGAGGUAAAUUUCUUCUAAAGCUAAAUACUGGCCAGAGACCGAUAGCGCACAAGUAGAGUGAUCGAAAGAUGAAAAGCACUUUGGAAAGAGAGUCAAAAAGCACGUGAAAUUGUUGAAAGGGAAGCGCUUGCAGCCAGACUUGCCUGUAGUUGUUCAUCCGGUGUCUUCAUCGGUGCACUCUUCUGCGGGCAGGCCAGCAUCAGUCCGGGCGGUCGGAUAAAGGCCUCGGGAAUGUAGCUCCCCUCGGGGAGUGUUAUAGCCCGGGGUGCCAUGCGACCAGCCUGGACUGAGGUCCGCGCAUCCGCUAGGAUGCUGGCGUAAUGGCUGUAAGCGGCCCGUCUUGAAACACGGACCAAGGAGUCUAACAUCUAUGCGAGUGUUUGGGUGUCAAGCCCGGGCGCGCAAUGAAAGUGAACGGAGGUGGGAACCCCUCGGGGCGCACCAUCGACCGAUCCUGAUGUCUUCGGAUGGAUUUGAGUAAGAGCAUAGCUGUUGGGACCCGAAAGAUGGUGAACUAUGCCUGAAUAGGGUGAAGCCAGAGGAAACUCUGGUGGAGGCUCGCAGCGGUUCUGACGUGCAAAUCGAUCGUCAAAUUUGGGCAUAGGGGCGAAAGACUAAUC
rnacentral:rRNA from 1 species